AGUAAUGUAUCGGAACGUGCCCAGUCGUGGGGGAUAACUGCUCGAAAGAGCAGCUAAUACCGCAUACGACCUGAGGGUGAAAGCGGGGGAUCGCAAGACCUCGCGCGAUUGGAGCGGCCGAUAUCAGAUUAGGUAGUUGGUGAGGUAAAGGCUCACCAAGCCGACGAUCUGUAGCUGGUCUGAGAGGACGACCAGCCACACUGGGACUGAGACACGGCCCAG
rnacentral:rRNA from 1 species